UAUUAGCUUAAAAUAAGAUUGGAGACUACAAGCAAUAGCUUAAAAACCCAAGAAUUUGGCGGUGUUUUAUUCAAUCAGGGGGACCUGUACUUUAAAUCGACAGUCCACGCUAAACUCUAUCUAAUUUUAAUAAUUUAGCUUGUAUACUGCCGUUUAAUAAGCUCUUUAGGUGCUCUUAUAAUAAAUAUAAAAAUUAUAAAUCAGGUCAUAGUGCAGCUUAUAGUUAGAUAGUAUAUGGGUCACAUUUUUAAAAAUAAAAUCAAAAUUAUAAAUUAAUUUUAUAAUAAAUUUAGGACUUGAUAGUAAUUAUAGAAUCAUUUAUACUAUAAUGAAUACGAACUUAAAACAAGU
rnacentral:rRNA from 1 species